rnacentral:tRNA from 1 species
UGAGGUAUAGCUCAGUGGUAGAGCACGUACUCAAUAUACACAAGGUUCUGGGUUCAAUCCUCAGUGCCUCCA